ensembl:lncRNA
GCAGAAUGGGAAAACCGAAGUAACCCGUGAACAUGUCAGAAGCUGUAUCGUGACUCUGUUCACUUCCUCUUCCUCGUCCUUUCGAGUGAGUGAGUGAGUGAGUGAGUGUGAGAGUGUGAGAGAGAGAGGGAGAUACAGCGAUACACACAGCGAAAUCAUAUGAAAGGUGCUAAGGCCGGAAGUGUUCGGAAAGAGGAAGUUGAGAGUUGUGAGUCAGAGACAAGAAAUUGGUGUGAAGACAGAGAUACACUCAGAGAAACAAGGCAUGAACAAAUUAGAGUAAGUAUGGUGAAGUGGAAAAAAGGACAGAGGUAAAAAACAAACAACGGAUGAAACUGAACUGGAAAACACAACAAAAAGGCAACAAGUGAAGAGGAAAGGAGAAGGCUGAACGUUGCGACAGAUGACAGAGUCGGAUAUGAGAAAACGCCGUGUCGGCACUCUUCUGGUCCUCAUGCUGAUACAGACAGGCAUGACAGACAGUGGGAUUUCUGUAUCUCACAAAUGGCAUGGAGAUUACCUAUCUAUCACCUGUCGUCUCAUGGGGGACAAAGACACUGUUUCUCAGAUCAACUGGGAGAUGACCAGCAGUUCGAACCACACCACCACCAGAUUGAAACUGGGCAUCUUCCACCCCGUGUUUGGUACCUACGUGUUCCCGAAGUACAACGAUACUGUGGAGAUCCAGGGUAACGCCUCCAGCGGCCAUUACACGCUCAGGCUGAAAGGUAGCACUGUGUUGGAGGAGAAUCAGUUCUGCUGUAAAUUCAUGACCUUUCCCUCUGGAGGACUGGAGCAGUGUACAAAUACCAGGAUUAAUGAAAGCACAGAGGAGGCCAAGGUGUCAGAAGGCCCACAGGGUUUACUAGAGGAGAGACAAGUGGAGCAGUGGGCUCUGCUAGUAAUGGGACCUACCAUCUGUCUCCUCAGUAUCGCAAUCUCUCUCUACUACUGCUUGAAGUAUUGCUGCAGACACUGCUGCCGCAGGAGGCGAUUGUUCGAGGUGGAGACUUAUCUGACAGACCAGCACACAGACUCGGAGGAGGUCACAGAGGAGCCACCCCAUCAACCCCCCCUUCCCUCACCUCCUCCCCUCCAGCUCCAGGGUUUUGACCCCUCUAAGCUGUACACUAAGAUCAAGCAGGAUCUGCUGUAUGGACGACUGUGGAAGGCCUACCAGGGGACAGCUAAGGCCUGGGACCCCACAACACAGCAGGGACCACACCAGCAAGGGCCACAACAAGGGGCAGAACUAGGGCCACAAAAGGUCUAUUUUCUUCUGGGGGAUCAUCGGGUGUCACAGAGAGAGGAACCAGAAGAACCAGAACUAGAACCUAAUCUAGAACAAGAACAAGACCCUCAACCAACCCUUGAAGGAACCGUGGAACCACAGACUGAGCCUGAACCUAUCCAUCCAUUAGCCCUGGAACCUGGAACACAGAUGGAGGUUCAAGAACCAGAAUGUAAUUUAGAACUAGAACCCAACUUCCCAUCAACCCUUUCUGCACGGAGGGGGGAACUGGAAUCAGACAUAGGAACAGAGAAAGAGGAAAUUGAAGAAACCAGAGACUAACCCUUCAGCGAGGAGGUUCAUGAAGGGAAGGUGUGUUGUGUUGUUGUGUGUGUGUGCGGGCCGUGCGUGUGUGCGUGUGUACGUGUGUGUUGGGAGGAAUAAUGCACUGUUGACAUUGGGUGAAUAACCCUGACCUCCUAAGGUUAGCUGUCAAUCAAUACGAUUAAUAAUUAUUGCCCCAGUGGGAAAUUUGUAGUGAAAAUUAAACUCACAGGUAAUCGCCAUGGUUUUUUGUUUACUGUGAACAUCGUACAUGUGGUUAGACGUCUCGGCCAUCACUCAGACGUUUCUCUCUCUCACACACACACACACACACACAGACAGACAGACAGACAGACAGACAGACAGACAGACAGACAGACAGACAGACAGACAGACAGACAGACAGACAGACAGACAGACAGACAGACAGACAGACAGACAGACAGACAGACAGACAGACAGACAGACAGACAGACAGACAGACACCACACACACACUGGUCAAUGGGGUUUGAAGUCUCGGCCAUCGCUCAGAUGUUUCUCACAUUUGAGCUCACAACAGUGUGGCAUACAGUAACUGUAUGAUGUGCGGUGUGAAUAGAACAUUAUGCUUUUGAAUAUAGUAAUGGGUUGAAUGACCUUUAGAUUCUAAAAAAGAGCUUUUAUAGCCAACUUUAUAGCCAACACUGUAAGGAACAAGACAGUGAGUGAUUUUUAUUUUGUGUAUCUGGUUUUGUGAUUGCAAUUUCUGUAUAUAAUGUUUAUUUCUUUGUUUCAAUUAAAAAUCAGACUAGCAAAAGUGUUUGAGUCCUUCACUUGAUAUCUAGAAUAUGCCUGCUUUUUUUGGGGGGCCACUGGGGGACGAC